CUUUUUGUCAUGGUUUCAAGAACUUACACAGGGUGUAUGGUUGCUGUUUUGGUGGUAGUGCCCACAAAUAGUAUAGAUAGUGACAGGAUGACAAAAAUAGUGUGCACAAGUAGUCAACUUACUAUUUUCAGAGAUACCACAAAUAGUUAAGUGACAAAAUGUGUGCAGGUGUGAGACAAAAGAUUUUAUGUGCUACAGACAAGAUUAGGGUUUUGCUCAGACAGGGUUUGCUAACAUGCUCUACUACAGACAAAUUUAGGGUUUUGUUCAGGUGAGGUUUUCUAUCAUGCACAUAUCAAGAAAAGCCAUGGCUGAGGGUUCUGAGAAGAUGGGUGUUUGGUGAGAGCUUACUGGUGUUAUUCGGACCCCCGUUUCAGGGGUUUGUUGUAGGAGAUGAGUCCAGUGGCACCGUGACCACAGGACAGAGGACACCUUCCCCUCCUUCUAGCGCCAAAUGAUAACGCUGGAUCCCGAUCCCGUCCUUCCUCCGCCUUGGGUGGUGGUUUUGCGGUGUAGCUGCUGGAAAGGGUCCUACAAAACAACGCCGGCGGGGGGGUUUGGCCCCAAAGCGCCUCCGGCGUGAGAGUAAGAGUAGGUUUUGGAAGGAUAGAGAUUAGGACACAAGUUAUCUAUGUGUGUGGAAGGGUGGUGUAUGGCUGUUGUGUGGUGGUUGCUGGUGGCUUUAGUGUUUUGUAUUUAGCUGAGUGCAGGUGUGUGUAAAAAUGAGUGUAGAGAGAAUGAAGUUAACCCUUAAACUCUUGAUCCUUGGUCUAUUUAUAGGCCAGGGAUUAGGGUUUAAGGGUGCGUACCUGGAUCCUGGUCCUACACGUGUAGGGGUUUGAUCCCCUACACGUGUCCAGGUGUCAGCGUAGAAGUAGUAUUUUGGAAUGUUCCCUGGCUUGUCUCUAUCGCCAGUAGUUGACCGUUAUGUUUGUCUUUAUCGUGUCAGUCUGUGUCUUGUGCAGCAAGUGUCGGCUGGUACAUGUGUAUCCGGGUGAGUAGCGAGUCUCAUGUACCCGGGUAAGCAGUCAUGUCCGGGUUGUAUCACCUGUCAAGGCUGGGGAUGUCCUGUUGUGUUGGUGGC
rnacentral:lncRNA from 1 species